AAGGCAAGAAAUGGCAGAACAGUUUUCAUCAGCAUCAAGUGAUUGCUCAUCAAGUACACCACGAAAUUCGCCGUCAACAUUAUUAUUUAUUACUGUGACAUGGGAAAUUACGAAAAAGCAAAAGACUUUCAUGAGCGAGCGAUAGAAAUUCAAACGAAAGCAUUUGGACCUGACCACGUUAGUAUAGCGACAACGUACAAAAAUCUGGGUUUGGUCUAC